rnacentral:rRNA from 1 species
AACGAACGCUGGCGGCAUGCCUAACACAUGCAAGUCGAACGAGACCUUCGGGUCUAGUGGCGCACGGGUGCGUAACGCGUGGGAACCUGCCCUUAGGUUCGGAAUAACUCCCCGAAAGGGGUGCUAAUACCGGAUAAUGUCUUCGGACCAAAGAUUUAUCGCCUUUGGAUGGGCCCGCGUUGGAUUAGCUAGUUGGUAGGGUAAAAGCCUACCAAGGCGACGAUCCAUAGCUGGUCUGAGGGGAUGAUCAGCCACACUGGGACUGAGACACGGCCCAGACUCCUACGGGAGGCAGCAGUGGGGAAUAUUGGACAAUGGGCGAAAGCAUGAUCCAGCAAUGCCGCGUGAGUGAUGAAGGCCUUAGGGUUGUAAAGCUCUUUUACCCGGGAUGAUAAUGACAGUACCGGGAGAAUAAGCUCCGGCUAACUCCGUG